rnacentral:lncRNA from 1 species
ACUCUCGUGCCAAGCAUGUCUCUCCAAAUGGCUGCUCUCUGGCGUUCCUCACACUCCCCCUGAAGUUCAUCUAAGAUCUUCAUUCUUCAAAGUGGCUCACACCUGUAAUCCCAGCACUUUGGGAGGCCGAGGCGGGUAGAUCUCUCGAGGCCAGGAAUUCAAGACCAGCCUGGCCAACAUGGUGAAACCCCAUCUCUAUUAAAAAUACAAAAAAAAAGUAGUUGGGUGUGGUGGCACACACCUGUAGUCCCAGCUACUUGGGAGGCUGAAGCAGGAGAAUCACUUGAACCCAGGAGGCGGAGGCUGCAGUGAGCCGAGAUCACACCACUGCACACCAGCCUAGGCUACAGAGCAAGACUAUCUC